GGGCAGUUAGCUCAGCCGGUUCAGAGCGUCUGGUUUACACCCAGAAGGUCGGGGGUUCGAAUCCCUCACUGCCCA
rnacentral:tRNA from 1 species